ensembl:lncRNA
UGUCGUGUCUAGGGGAGUGUGGGUGCAUGCAUGUUGGCAGGGGAUGUGUAGAUGUCUGCAUGUCAUGUAUAGUAUACGCAGAAGUAAGUAUAGCGGAGUGGAGUGUGUGUGGAUGUUGAGGGUGUGUGUGUGUGUGAAUGAGAAAGAUCUGAGGGCAAUAUCAAUCUGUGGAGAGCUGCAGAUCUUAUAUGGGCCCCAUCUUCCCAGGCGUGGGCAAUCAGCUAAUAAUUAGCUCCCCAAUGCUGCCUGCAGUUCACGCCCCGGCCACUGCACAGUCUAAGGGGAGCGUAGCGGCCACUGCACAGUCUAAGGGGAGCGUAGCGGCCACUGCACAGUCUAAGGGGAGCGUAGCGGCCACUGCACAGUCUAAGGGAGCCGUAGCGGCCACUGCACAGUCUAAGGGGAGCGUAGCGGCCACUGCACAGUCUAAGGGAGCCGUAGCGGCCACUGCACAGUCUAAGGGGAGCGUAGCGGGUCAUAACAGGGCAUGCACACCACGCGUUCUUACUCCCUCUCGGAUGUAUUUCUGUCUGUGGCAUGUCUGGUUUCCAUGCAACACCAUCGUAUCUGCUUCAGUACGGGUAUGAAAUAACCACACAGGGCCCAUGUUUCAUGGGGCAACAAGAUGGGAGAUAUGUGAGUGAC